UACGUAGGUGGCAAGCGUUACUCGGAAUCACUAGGCGUAAAGCGCAGGUAGGAGGUUUGGUAAGUCUGUUGUGAAAGCUCCCGGCUCAACUGGGAGAGGUCAACGGAAACUGCUAGGCUAGAGUGUGGUAGAGGAAGAUGGAAUUCCCGGUGUAGCGGUGAAAUGCGUAGAUAUCGGGAGGAAUACCUAUGGCGAAAGCAGUCUUCUGGACCAACACUGACUCUGAUCUGCGAAAGCUAGGGGAGCAAACAGG
rnacentral:rRNA from 1 species